rnacentral:rRNA from 1 species
AAUUUUGGACCAUGGGGGAAACCCUGCUCCAGCCAUCCCGCGUGUAUGAUGAAGGCCUUCGGGUUGUAAAGUACUUUUGGCAGAGAAGAAAAGGUACCUCCUAAUACGAGGUACUGCUGACGGUAUCUGCAGAAUAAGCACCGGCUAACUACGUGCUAGCAGCCGCGGUAAUACGUAGGGUGCUAGCGUUAAUCGGAAUUACUGGGCGUAAAGCGUGUGUAGGCGGUUCGGAAAGAAAGAUGUGGAAACCCAGGGCUCAACCUUGGAACUGCAUUCUUAACUACCGAACUAGAGUAUGUCAGAGGGGGGUAGAAUUCCGCGUGUAGCAGUGAAAUGCGUAGAUAUGCGGAGGAAUACCGAUGGCGAAGGCAGCGACCUGGGAUAAUACUGACGCUCAUGCACGAAAGCGUGGGUAGCAAACA